GGCUCAGGACGAACGCUGGCGGCGUGCUUAACACAUGCAAGUCGAACGAAGCGGCAGUGAAGGAGGCUUCGGCCAAUGGAUCUGUCGACUUAGUGGCGGACGGGUGAGUAACGCGUGAGCAACCUGCCUUUCAGAGGGGGAUAACGUUUGGAAACGAACGCUAAUACCGCAUAAAGUAUUUUCGCUGCAUGACGGAGAUACCAAAGGAGCAAUCCGCUGAAAGAUGGGCUCGCGUCCGAUUAGAUAGUUGGUGGGGUAACGGCCUACCAAGUCGACGAUCGGUAGCCGGACUGAGAGGUUGAACGGCCACAUUGGGACUGAGACACGGCCCAGACUCCUACGGGAGGCAGCAGUGGGGAAUAUUGCACAAUGGGCGCAAGCCUGAUGCAGCAACGCCGCGUGAGGGAAGACGGUUUUCGGAUUGUAAACCUUUGUCCUUGGUGAAGAUCAUGACGGUAGCCGAGGAGGAAGCCACGGCUAACUACGUGCCAGCAGCCGC
rnacentral:rRNA from 1 species